CUACGUGCCAGCAGCCGCGGUAAUACGUAUGUCACAAGCGUUAUCCGGAUUUAUUGGGCGUAAAGCGCGUCUAGGUGGUUAUGUAAGUCUGAUGUGAAAAUGCAGGGCUCAACUCUGUAUUGCGUUGGAAACUGCAUGACUAGAGUACUGGAGAGGUAAGCGGAACUACAAGUGUAGAGGUGAAAUUCGUAGAUAUUUGUAGGAAUGCCGAUGGGGAAGCCAGCUUACUGGACAGAUACUGACGCUAAAGCGCGAAAGCGUGGGUAGCAAACAGGAUUAGAUACCCUGGUAGUCCACGCCGUAAACGAUGAUUACUAGGUGUUGGGGGUCGAACCUCAGCGCCCAAGCUAACGCGAUAAGUAAUCCGCCUGGGGAGUACGACCGCAAGGUUGAAACUCAAAGGAAUUGACGGGGGCCCGCACAAGCGGUGGAGCAUGUGGUUUAAUUCGAAGCAACGCGAAGAACCUUACCAGGUCUUGACAUCCCUCUGACCGCUCUAGAGAUAGAGUUUUC
rnacentral:rRNA from 1 species